rnacentral:rRNA from 1 species
GAUGAACGCUGGCGGCGUGCCUAAUACAUGCAAGUCGAGCGAACAGACGAGGAGCUUGCUCCUCUGACGUUAGCGGCGGACGGGUGAGUAACACGUGGAUAACCUACCUAUAAGACUGGGAUAACUUCGGGAAAUCGGAGCUAAUACCGGAUAAUAUAUUGAACCGCAUGGUUCAAUAGUGAAAGACGGUUUUGCUGUCACUUAUAGAUGGAUCCGCGCCGCAUUAGCUAGUUGGUAAGGUAACGGCUUACCAAGGCAACGAUGCGUAGCCGACCUGAGAGGGUGAUCGGCCACACUGCAGCUGAGACACGGUCCAGACUCCUACGGGAGGCAGCAGUAGGGAAUCUUCCGCAAUGGGCGAAAGCCUGACGGAGCAACGCCGCGUGAGUGAUGAAGGUCUUCGGAUCGUAAAACUCUGUUAUUAGGGAAGAACAAAUGUGUAAGUAACUAUGCACGUCUUGACGGUACCUAAUCAGAAAGCCACGGCUAACUACGUG